rnacentral:ncRNA from 2 species
GUUCACGAGUCCUAUGUAUUAGCCCCGGCUUAGUAGGCGGCAACCCUCCACCGCGGCGGGGUGCUCCGGGUGACGAACAGGUCGUUACGGCGACAAGCGCAGGUG